rnacentral:rRNA from 1 species
AUUGAACGCUGGCGGCAGGCCUAACACAUGCAAGUCGAGCGGAAACGAUGGAAGCUUGCUUCCAGGCGUCGAGCGGCGGACGGGUGAGUAAUGCAUGGGAAUCUGCCCGAUAGUGGGGGAUAACCUGGGGAAACCCAGGCUAAUACCGCAUACGUCCUACGGGAGAAAGCAGGGGAUCUUCGGACCUUGCGCUAUCGGAUGAGCCCAUGUCGGAUUAGCUUGUUGGUGAGGUAAUGGCUCACCAAGGCGACGAUCCGUAGCUGGUCUGAGAGGAUGAUCAGCCACAUCGGGACUGAGACACGGCCCGAACUCCUACGGGAGGCAGCAGUGGGGAAUAUUGGACAAUGGGCGAAAGCCUGAUCCAGCCAUGCCGCGUGUGUGAAGAAGGCCCUCGGGUUGUAAAGCACUUUCAGUGGGGAAGAAAGCCUCGGGAUUAAUACUUCCGAGGAAGGACAUCACCCACAGAAGAAGCACCGGCUAACUCCGUGCCAGCAGCCGCGGUAAUACGGAGGGUGCGAGCGUUAAUCGGAAUUACUGGGCGUAAAGCGCGCGUAGGCGGUCUGAUCAGCCGGUUGUGAAAGCCCCGGGCUCAACCUGGGAACGGCAUCCGGAACUGUCAGGCUAGAGUGCAGGAGAGGAAGGUAGAAUUCCCGGUGUAGCGGUGAAAUGCGUAGAGAUCGGGAGGAAUACCAGUGGCGAAGGCGGCCUUCUGGACUGGCACUGACGCUGAGGUGCGAAAGCGUGGGUAGCAAACA